AUGUCUCAAGUCCCUAUAUAUUGCUACGUCUUUCCAUGAAUAAACGAGUUGAAAGUUUACCGCCUGUGUCGUCGUACCUCUCUCUGUCCUCGUCUUCAGGGCCCGUGGUCAAAAU
rnacentral:lncRNA from 1 species